AUUUGUAUUGUUAGCCGAACGCUCUGGAAAGUGCGGCCAUAGCGGGUGAUAGCCCCGUAGGCGAAAACAGUAUGAAAGAACUAGGUGUACGACAAGUAGGGCGGGACACGUGAAAUCCUGUCUGAAGAUGGGGGGACCAUCCUCCAAGGCUAAAUACUCGUGAUCGACCGAUAGUGAACCAGUACCGUGAGGGAAAGGUGAAAAGAACCCCGGGAGGGGAGUGAAAUAGAUCCUGAAACCGCAUGCAUACAAACAGUCGGAGCCUCGUAAG
rnacentral:rRNA from 1 species